rnacentral:rRNA from 1 species
CCUACGGGUGGCAGCAGUGGGGUAUAUUGCGCAAUGGGCGAAAGCCUGACGCAGCGACGCCGCGUGAGGGAUGAAGGUCUUCGGAUCGUAAACCUCUGUCAGCAGGGAAGAACGGUCACUGUGCUAAUCAGCAGUGACUUGACGGUACCUGCAAAGGAAGCACCGGCUAACUCCGUGCCAGCAGCCGCGGUAAUACGGAGGGUGCGAGCGUUAAUCGGAAUUACUGGGCGUAAAGCGCUCGUAGGCGGUAUGGCAAGUCAAGGGUGAAAUCCCCGCGCUCAACGUGGGAACUGCCUUUGAAACUGGCAAACUGGAGUGUGUGAGAGGAUAGUGGAAUUCCAGGUGUAGGAGUGAAAUCCGUAGAUAUCUGGAGGAACAUCAGUGGCGAAGGCGACUAUCUGGCACAUAACUGACGCUGAGGAGCGAAAGCGUGGGUAGCAAACAGGAUUAGAUACCCCGGUAGUC